rnacentral:rRNA from 1 species
GACGAACGCUGGCGGCGUGCUUAACACAUGCAAGUCGAACGGAAAGGCCCUGCUUUUGUGGGGUGCUCGAGUGGCGAACGGGUGAGUAACACGUGAGUAACCUGCCCUUGACUUUGGGAUAACUUCAGGAAACUGGGGCUAAUACCGGAUAGGAGCUCCUGCUGCAUGGUGGGGGUUGGAAAGUUUCGGCGGUUGGGGAUGGACUCGCGGCUUAUCAGCUUGUUGGUGGGGUAGUGGCUUACCAAGGCUUUGACGGGUAGCCGGCCUGAGAGGGUGACCGGCCACAUUGGGACUGAGAUACGGCCCAGACUCCUACGGGAGGCAGAAGUGGGGAAUAUUGCACAAUGGGCGGAAGCCUGAUGCAGCAACGCCGCGUGCGGGAUGACGGCAUUCGGGUUGUAAACCGCUUUCGCCUGUGACGAAGCGUGAGUGACGGUAAUGGGUAAAGAAGAACCGGCUAACUACGUG